rnacentral:sRNA from 1 species
UGUCAAAGUAAUAAUGACAUACUUGAU